rnacentral:rRNA from 1 species
UGGGGAAUUUUGCGCAAUGGGGGAAACCCUGACGCAGCGAUGCCGCGUGGAGGACGAAGGUCUUCGGAUUGUAAACUCCUUUUGUCGGUGAAAAACAUUCGCGUGAAUAACGUGAACUGAUUGUAUCCGGCGAAUAAGCCACGGCUAACUUCGUGCCAGCAGCCGCGGUAAGACGAAGGUGGCGAGCGUUACUCGGAUUUACUAGGCGUAAAGCGUGGGCAGGCGGCUCGAUUAGUCUCUUGUGAAAGCCUUGGGCUUAACCCAGGGAGGCCAAGAGAUACUAUCGGGCUUGGAUGUGGGAGAGGAGACUGGAAUUCCCGGUGUAGCGGUGAAAUGCGUUGAUAUCGGGAGGAACACCAAUGGCGAAAGCAAGUCUCUGGACCACCAUCGACGCUCAUCCACGAAAGCUGGGGGAUCAAACAGG